rfam:Mycobacterium shinjukuense strain CCTG 53584 Mycobacterium_shinjukuense_CCTG53584_contig114, whole genome shotgun sequence.
UAGCGGGUGUGAGUCCCGUCCCGGUAGGCACCGGAGCGCCGGGUAGCAGGCCCCGGUUCGUCGUUGAGAGGCGGCGGGCUAAGCGGGGUGUCAAGAGCCUCUUUGGAGGGAGCAAGUGCGCGGGCCGUAGUGCCG